rnacentral:rRNA from 1 species
GAUGAACGCUAGCUACAGGCUUAACACAUGCAAGUCGAGGGGUAACGAGAGGAAAGCUUGCUUUCCUUGUCGACGACCGGCGCACGGGUGAGUAACGCGUAUCCAACCUGCCCCCAACUAGGGAAUAACCUUGCGAAAGUAAGACUAAUACCCUAUAAUUUCCUCAGAUGUCAUCUGACGAGGAAUAAAGAUUUAUCGGUUGUGGAUGGGGAUGCGUCUGAUUAGCUUGUUGGCGGGGUAACGGCCCACCAAGGCAACGAUCAGUAGGGGUUCUGAGAGGAAGGUCCCCCACAUUGGAACUGAGAAACGGUCCAAACUCCUACGGGAGGCAGCAGUGAGGAAUAUUGGUCAAUGGGCGGAAGCCUGAACCAGCCAAGUAGCGUGCAGGAUGACGGCCCUAUGGGUUGUAAACUGCUUUUAUACAGGAAUAAAGUUAGCCACGUGUGGUUAUUCGUAGGUACUGUAUGAAUAAGGACCGGCUAAUUCCGUGCCAGCAGCCGCAGUAA